UACGUAGGUGACAAGCGUUGUCCGGAUUUACUGGGCGUAAAGAGCGCGCAGGCGGUCGUUCAAGUCGAGUGUGAAAGCCCCCGGCUCAACUGGGGAGGGUCAUUCGAUACUGUUCGAACUCGAAGGCGGGAGAGGGAAGUGGAAUUCCGGGUGUAGUGGUGAAAUGCGUAGAUAUCCGGAGGAACACCAGUGGCGAAGGCGACUUCUGGCCUGUUCUUGACGCUGAGGCGCGAAAGCUAGGGGAGCAAACGGG
rnacentral:rRNA from 1 species